UGGGGAAUAUUGCACAAUGGGCGAAAGCCUGAUGCAGCGACGCCGCGUGCGGGAUGAAGGCCUUCGGGUUGUAAACCGCUUUUAAUUGGGGGCAAGCGAGAGUGAGUGUACCUUUUGAAUAAGCACCGGCUAACUACGUGCCAGCAGCCGCGGUAAUACGUAGGGUGCAAGCGUUAUCCGGAAUUAUUGGGCGUAAAGAGCUCGUAGGCGGUUUGUCGCGUCUGGUGUGAAAGUCCAUCGCUUAACGGUGGAUCUGCGCCGGGUACGGGCAGGCUAGAGUGCGACAGGGGAGACUGGAAUUCCCGGUGUAACGGUGGAAUGUGUAGAUAUCGGGAAGAACACCAAUGGCGAAGGCAGGUCUCUGGGUCGUCACUGACGCUGAGGAGCGAAAAGCGUGGGGAGCGAACAGGAUUAGAUACCCUGGUAGUCCACGCCGU
rnacentral:rRNA from 1 species